rnacentral:rRNA from 1 species
UGGGGAAUCUUGCACAAUGGGGGCAACCCUGAUGCAGCGACGCCGCGUGAGCGAUGAAGGUUUUCGAAUCGUAAAGCUCUGUCCUAUGGGAAGAUAAUGACGGUACCAUAGGAGGAAGCCCCGGCUAACUACGUGCCAGCAGCCGCGGUAAUACGUAGGGGGCGAGCGUUGUCCGGAAUUACUGGGCGUAAAGGGUUCGCAGGCGGAAAUGCAAGUCAGUUGUGAAAGGCAGAGGCUCAACCUCUGUAAGCAAUUGAAACUGUAUUUCUUGAGAUGUGGAGAGGCAAGUGGAAUUCCUAGUGUAGCGGUGAAAUGCGUAGAUAUUAGGAAGAAUACCGGUGGCGAAGGCGACUUGCUGGACACAAACUGACGCUGAGGAACGAAAGCGUGGGUAGCAAACAGG